rnacentral:rRNA from 1 species
AUUGAACGCUGGCGGCAGGCCUAACACAUGCAAGUCGAACGGUAACAGGAAGCAGCUUGCUGCUUCGCUGACGAGUGGCGGACGGGUGAGUAAUGUCUGGGAAACUGCCUGAUGGAGGGGGAUAACUACUGGAAACGGUAGCUAAUACAGCAUAACGUCGCAAGACCAAAGAGGGGGACCUUAGGGCCUCUUGCCAUCGGAUGUGCCCAGAUGGGAUUAGCUAGUAGGGGGGGUAACGGCUCACCUAGGCGACGAUCCCUAGCUGGUCUGAGAGGAUGACCAGCCACACUGGAACUGAGACACGGUCCAGACUCCUACGGGAGGCAGCAGUGGGGAAUAUUGCACAAUGGGCGCAAGCCUGAUGCAGCCAUGCCGCGUGUAUGAAGAAGGCCUUCGGGUUGUAAAGUACUUUCAGCGGGGAGGAAGGGAGUAAAGUUAAUACCUUGGCUCAUUGACGUUACCCGCAGAAGAAGCACCGGCUAACUCCGUG